GUACCUCAACAACAAUUUCAUAACUGUAUUAGACAAAUCUGUUUUCAUGGGAUUGCAGAAUUUACAGACACUAUCAAUAGAUUACAAUCCUCUGCAUUGCGACUGCAUCAUGGCCGAUUUUAUUAAGUUUUCCAAAUCAAGAAAUUUGACAUUGAAACUUUUCGAUGAACCGAGCUGUUCAUAUCCCAGUUAUUUUAUUGGAGUAUUGCUACGGGACCUCUCAUUGGAAGAAAUGGAUUGUGAUCUCACUACAACCUCAACAACAGCACUGGAAACAUCAGGUAGAAUAAUUGUUUUCAACUAAAUUAAUUGUGCAUCCUCACAGAUCUCAUAUAUAGGACAUAUCUUUGGAGUUUAAUGAAGUUAAAAGCUCUGAUAGGUAUCCGAGGUGAAGUUUAAUUUUCGUUAAAAGGCAAGGAAGCUAGUGAAACGAAUACAUUAUCUAAAAUUUACUACUGUAAACCAACUUUUAUUCGCGACGACUUUAUUUCGCGAUUUACUAGGGAUGAACUUGUUCGCGACGAUAAAUUUUCACGAUCAAGCCUUUUUGGAUCUGUAGUUAAUAGACAAAUACACUUUAAGAACCGCUUCGCGGCAAGAAAUAUUCGCGA